UACGAGGGGAGCAAGCGUUGUUCGGAUUUACUGGGCGUAAAGGGCGCGUAGGCGGCGUGACAAGUCACUUGUGAAAUCUCCGGGCUUAACCCGGAAAGGUCAAGUGAAACUGUCGUGCUAGAGUGCAGAAGGGGCAACUGGAAUUCUCGGUGUAGCGGUGAAAUGCGUAGAUAUCGAGAGGAACACCUGCGGCGAAGGCGGGUUGCUGGGCUGAUACUGACGCUGAUGCGCGAAAGCCAGGGGAGCGAACGGG
rnacentral:rRNA from 1 species